rnacentral:rRNA from 1 species
CUCCUGGAAACGGGUGGUAAUGCCGGAUGCUCCAGCUGACCGCAUGGGAUGCUGGGAAAGCUUUUGCGGCAUGGGAUGGGGUCGCGUCCUAUCAGCUUGUUGGUGGGGUGAUGGCCCACCAAGGCUUCGACGGGUAGCCGGCCUGAGAGGGCGACCGGCCACAUUGGGACUGAGAUACGGCCCAGACUCCUACGGGAGGCAGCAGUGGGGAAUAUUGCGCAAUGGGCGAAAGCCUGACGCAGCGACGCCGCGUGCGGGAUGAAGGCCUUCGGGUUGUAAACCGCUUUUAUCGGGGAGCAAGCGAGAGUGAGUGUACCCGUUGAAUAAGCACCGGCUAACUACGUGCCAGCAGCCGCGGUAAUACGUAGGGUGCAAGCGUUAUCCGGAUUUAUUGGGCGUAAAGGGCUCGUAGGCGGUUCGUCGCGUCUGGUGUGAAAGUCCAUCGCUUAACGGUGGAUCUGCGCCGGGUACGGGCGGGCUGGAGUGCGGUAGGGGAGACUGGAAUUCCCGGUGUAACGGUGGAAUGUGUAGAUAUCGGGAAGAACACC